rnacentral:lncRNA from 1 species
UGCGGUGCGUAGAAGAAAGGUGCUACUUUCACUUAGUUCUCUCAGUUCUAAGUUGGGACUGCAAAAAUUUGAGGAUUUCCCCACAUGUGAGUUGCCUUGAUUAGUUUUGGCUUAGUUAGUGAAAUGAACUGGAAGUAACUUCUGAAUUUGUUUGACUUUGUACUUGCUAGAGACCUAAAGUUUUUGCUUCUAGCAUUUCUCUUUUGUAAGCAGCAUGGCAAACCCGGUUUCAAAGUAAAGACCUGAGGAAGAAUGUGGAUUGAUCAUUGUGAUUUCAAGUCCUUCAGGUGAUUGAUCACUGUGGUAAUUCAUUCUUUUGUCAAAUUUGAUUACAAUUGGGGUUGGAGGGAAGCAACAAAAUUCCUAUCCUGUAAUAGACGUUUUUGGUGUGUGACUUGAUAGUUGUUCACGUCGAUACAAAAUUUCAUUCAUGUGGUUUUUUAAGGCAUUUGAAUUUAACAUUGUUUUUAUGAUUGUCUAAGAGCUGGAGCUAUUAAGACUUGGGACAGAUAUAUACAGGUAACAGGGGCCUACAAGAUCCAAUUCAUGUUAGUUACCUAUAACUCUGUACCUAAAUGCAUCUUUCAUAAUGUUAUUUCUGUAAUUUAUAGAAGUAAACAAAUUCCUUACAGGUUUGACAGUUCGUCAAAAUAAACAAGUAGUAUUGAUGGGUAAAGGUGGGUACUGAUUUAGUAUGAACAAGUCUGCAUGUUUUAGAACUUCUGUAUUUUCUGAGUUUUCUUUCGUUCAUGCAUUUUCCGAGCUUAUGUAUUUUUUGAGUU